rnacentral:rRNA from 1 species
GACGAACGCUGGCGGCGUGCUUAACACAUGCAAGUCGAACGGUAAGGCCCUUUCGGGGGUACACGAGUGGCGAACGGGUGAGUAACACGUGGGUGAUCUGCCCUGCACUUUGGGAUAAGCCUGGGAAACUGGGUCUAAUACCGGAUAGGACUACGCGAUGCAUGCCGUGUGGUGGAAAGCUUUUGCGGUGUGGGAUGGGCCCGCGGCCUAUCAGCUUGUUGGUGGGGUGAUGGCCUACCAAGGCGACGACGGGUAGCCGGCCUGAGAGGGUGUCCGGCCACACUGGGACUGAGAUACGGCCCAGACUCCUACGGGAGGCAGCAGUGGGGAAUAUUGCACGAUGGGCGCAAGCCUGAUGCAGCGACGCCGCGUGAGGGAUGACGGCCUUCGGGUUGUAAACCUCUUUCAACGCCGACGAAGCGUAAGUGACGGUAGGCGUAGAAGAAGCACCGGCCAACUACGUGCCAGCCGCCGUGUAA